GUCUACGGCCAUGUCACCCUGAACAAGCCCGAAGCGUGAUCUCGGAAGCAGGGUCUGGCCUGGCUAGUACUUGGAUGGGAAGCCACCUAGGAAGACCAGGUGCUGUAGGCA
rnacentral:rRNA from 1 species